rnacentral:rRNA from 1 species
UACAGAGGUGGCAAGCGUUGCUCGGUAUCACUGGGCUUAAAGGGCGCGUAGGCGGUGCGGUACGGUUUCGGUGAAAUCCCUCGGCCCAACCGAGGAACAGCCGGGGCUACGGCCGCGCUAGACGGCAUCAGGGGACAGUGGAACUUCCGGUGGAGCGGUGAAAUGCGUAGAUAUCGGAAGGAACGCCGGUGGCGAAAGCGACUGUCUGGGGUGCCUGUGACGCUGAGGCGCGAAAGCCAGGGGAGCAAACGGG